GGGGUAAGAAUUAAUAUAUUAGGGGUAAUAGAAAAAUUUUUAAAAUAAAAUAUUUUAAUGGGGGUUAAAGUAUAUUUAUAAGAAAAAAUUUUUAAUUUUAUAGUUUAUUAGUAUUGUGAAAGAAAGUUGAAAUAAUUUGAAAAUUUAAUUGUAAAAAAAGUAAAUUUUAUUUAUUGUAUCUUGUGUAUCAGAGUUUAUUAAUAUAAUUUUAUUGUUAAUAAUUAUCUCGAAUUUAAAAGAGAUAAUUAAUUAUAAAAGUUAUUGUUUCAUAAAUAUUUUUAAUAAUUAAUUUGAAAUGAAAUGUUAAUCGUUUUUAAAUAUAUCUAGUUUUUUCAGAAAUAAAUUUAAUUUAAAAUUUCUCAAAAAAAAAAAAUUAAUUAAUUAAUUUUUUUUUUGAGAAAUUUAAUAUUUUAAGGGAUAAUCUUUAAAUUAAAUUUUUAUAAUUAAAUUUUAAUUUAAUUAAAAUUUUUAAAAUUUAUAUUGUUUAUAAAUUAUAUUUUUUUAUAAAAAAUUUUAAUGAUUCAUAAAAUUUUUAAUAAUAAAUUUAAUUUUUUAUGAAAAAAUAAUUUUUAAUAAAAAAAAUUUAAAUAUAAUGAUAAAAUUAGUAUAAAAUUAAAAAUAUGAAAUUAAUUUAAUAAAAAUUAAUAAAAAGGAAUUCGGCAAAUAUUUAUAUUCACUUGUUUAACAAAAACAUGUCUUUUUGAUAAUAAUUUAAAGUCUAAUCUGCCCACUGAUUGAAUUAUUAAAGGGCUGCAGUAUAUUGACUGUACAAAGGUAGCAUAAUCAUUAGUCUUUUAAUUGGAGACUUGUAUGAAGGAUUUGAUGAGAUAUAAACUGUCUUUUUUUUAAAUUUAGAAAUUAAUUUUUUAGUUAAAAAGCUAAAAUUUAUUUAAAAGACGAGAAGACCCUAUAGAGUUUUAUUAAAUGAUUAAUUAUUAAAAUUAUAUAAAUUUUUAAUUAAAAAUUAAUUUUUUAAUUUUGUUGGGGUGAUAGAAAAAUUUAAUAAACUUUUUUUAUUUAAUUCCAUUAAUUUAUGAAUUUUUGAUCCAUAAUUUAUGAUUAUAAGAAAAAAUUACCUUAGGGAUAACAGCGUAAUUUUUUUUUUUAGUUCAAAUAAAAAGAAAAGUUUGCGACCUCGAUGUUGGAUUAAGAUAAAAUUUAAAUGCAGAAGUUUAAUAUUUUGAUCUGUUCGAUCAUUAAAAUCUUACAUGAUCUGAGUUCAAACCGGUGUAAGCCAGGUUGGUUUCUAUCUUUAAAAAAUUAAAAUAUUUUAGUACGAAAGGAUUAAAUAUUUAAAAUAUAUUUUAAAAUAGAAGAAUUUUAAUAAUUACUAAAUUAUAUUUAUUAUAGUAAAAAUUAAAAUUA
rnacentral:rRNA from 1 species